CCUACGGGUGACAGCAGUCGAGAAUCAUUCACAAUGGGGGAAACCCUGAUGGUGCGACGCCGCGUGGGGGAAUGAAGGUCUUCGGAUUGUAAACCCCUGUCAUGUGGGAGCAAAUUAAAAAGAUAGUACCACAAGAGGAAGAGACGGCUAACUCUGUGCCAGCAGCCGCGGUAAUACAGAGGUCUCAAGCGUUGUUCGGAAUCACUGGGCAUAAGGCGUGCGUAGGCUGUUUUGUAAGUCGGGUGUGAAAGGCGGAGGCUCAACCCGCGGACGGCACAUGAUACUGCGAGACUAGAGUAAUGGAGGGGGAACCGGAAUUCUCGGUGUAGCAGUGAAAUGCGUAGAUAUCGAGAAGAACACUCGUGGCGAAGGCGGGUGCCUGGACAUUAACUGACGCUGAGGCACGAAGGCCAGGGGAGCGAAAGGGAUUAGAUACCCGUGUAGUC
rnacentral:rRNA from 1 species